GCCCGGUUAGCUCAAUCGGUAGAGCGUGAGACUCUUAAUCUCAAGGUUGCGGGUAAGCAAAUAUUGAAGAAAAAAAUUAUCGUCGGUGGAUUUGUGACUAACCCUAGUGCUAGGUUCGACCCCCGCAUCGGGCU